CAAGAAUAUCGCAGGGAAAAGGAUGACGAGUUCUGUUGUGGGAAUUUAACAUUAUUCCAUUACCAACUUCUGUAACAAUCCGACCACGCAAGCUCGAUAUUUCAGAGGAUAUACUGAAUGACCUACCCCCGGUGAAUUUAGAUGAGCCAUCGUUAUGCAAUUGCAUUAAGCAGCCAUUAUAUCCUAUGUGUUUGAUUAAAAUUUAUGGUGAAGAGAUGCCUGGUCAUGUUGAAAGUAUGGGUGCAGAAGGAGGAGUUGUCAUUAUGUUUGUUAACUCGAAGAAAUAGAUGUAUUCUUAUCUACACUGCAAAAAAAUGCCCAGCCUGUAACAAUGUUGUUGAACACAGGCCUGAACAAUAUUUUGUUGCCCAUAUUGUUCCCGCUUGUUACAAAAAUUGUUCAGCUUUGUUCUGGCUGAACAAUAUUCUUAACCGGGGACAAAAUGGGCAGCAAAAUAUUGUCCAGGCC